rnacentral:rRNA from 1 species
GACAGAGGGUGCAAACGUUGUUCGGAAUUACUGGGCGUAAAGCGUGUGUAGGCGGCUAAGUAAGUCGGAUGUGAAAGCCCCGGGCUCAACCCGGGAAGUGCACUCGAUACUGCUUAGCUUGAGUAUCGGAGAGGUUGGUGGAAUUCUCGGUGUAGAGGUGAAAUGCGUAGAUAUCGGGAGGAACACCUGAGGCGAAGGCGGGCUACUGGGCCGAUACUGACGCUGAUGCGCGAAAGCCAGGGGAGCAAACGGG